GUGAGCUUAGUUCUUCACUCUUCGUUGACCCUCUACCCUCCUUUUCGUUCCGUCGCCGGCAACUGUGAACGCCGGAGUCUUCCUCUUCAUCUUCUUUUGCAAUUGACGCCGACGGCCUUCUUCCUUUCCCGAGCUAGCUGGCUCGUUUCUGGACUGGGAUAGGGCAAGAGAAAUCUGUUGCCGUCUUCCUCCUCUUUGUAGCUCGCUGCCGCUGUGGGUAGAUGUCGGAGCUCCAUCAAUCACCUGAAUCGUGCUUCAAUAUUUUACUAUGGGAGUUAAUCUAUUGUUGAAAGAGGUUCCGGAUUGAGGCCGUCCCUCUUCCCUUCCUUCUCGAUUUUCUGGUGUGUAGAAGAAGAUGACUUUGAUAAGUGAUGGAAAGGAGAAAUCUUUGAGUUUUAGCAAUUUGACAGGCUUUAUGGAUGUAUAUUUAUGCAUAUAUCCUGUGUCAAUUACAUUCAAUUUUUGGGGCGUGACAAGUUUCCCCAUAACUUGUUUCGCAAUGAUCUCUGUGGGUAGUGCAUGCAAAACAAUCACCAGUAAGGUAAGAAAUAAGAUAACUAUUCUUCCAUCAGCUCUUUGAUUUUUUAUUCUUUUUAAGUGUCACUGUAUCUCCGCACCAUGUAUUGAUCUUCUUCCCUUGCUUCCAUUAUUUUCAUGGUAACAAGGAGGAGGUAAAUGAAAAUACUCUAAGCUAAGGUAAAGAAUUACUCUAGGCCAAAAAGUAGAAGGUAUGCUUUCUAGUUUGAUGAAAAUAUCUUAUACAUUGCAUAUUCUUCAUUUUAGCAUGUUAAGAAACUCGUGUAUUUAUCCUGUUAUCAUCUUUCUUAUGCAAAAAUUCAAUAGCACAGAUAUAGAAAUUACAAUGCCCUCUACGAAUUUCAUGAAUCAUGAAUUUUCACCUCAUGUAAAUUACCCUUCUCUACAUAAAUAAUAUUGAUCAAUACCUAUCUUCCCUUCAUGUUAUCAGCAACCAAAUGGGCUCUGUACCUGUCAAAAGAAAGGGAAAGGCAAGAAUGGUCUUCUACGUCACUCUUUAAUGCUUUAGUAAUUGAAUAUAACAUGGAUUCCACACUGGUAAGAUAUGUAGUUGUGUGACUCUUGGUUGGGAACCACGCCGUUUAACGCCAUUUCCUUUGUGAAUUUUGUUGAGCAGUAUAAGAAAUACACCCAGGAGUAACAGAAUAAUGAAAAUGGACCACCAUGGCAGCUGCAGAAUCAAACAUAUCAAAAGGGAAACAGCUAGAGGGCCAGACACUGAUGCAAGCACUUCAAACCGAGAAGCGAAAUCACGAAACAUAAACUUCGCUAUUGUCGUGGAGUAAUAUGCUACUGAAAAUACAAGAGAAGCUAUGAAUAUUAUAGGAUGAAGUUCGAAUGGUGAAGGAUUGUUGGUUGAACUUCGUAUUUGAAGGAAGCUAAGUAGAACUGUAAUCAAGGGAGCGAAAAUCAAGUCGGAGGGAAAGGCUUCACGAGAGAAGGCAUUGGCGUUAAAGAACAUAGCAAAUUCUUGUCUUCUUGAGUACAAGUUGUGGCCAUGGCUGUUGCUGUAAUAAAUUGUCUCACUUUGCUGUAAAGAACAGUAUAUGAAGUCCUGCAUGUGAUUAUACAAUGUGUAGGCACAAGCCUUUCUUAAUACAUUUCUCUAUAUCAAGUUAAACCAUA